ACACACACACACACACAGACAUAAUAACACACACAGACAUACUGACACACACAGACAUGCUGACACACACACAGACAUACUGACACACACAUGCACAGAUAUACUGACACACACACACACAGACAUACUGACACACACAGACAUACUGACCCACAGAUAUACAGACAGACAGAUAUACUGACACCCACACAUACUUACACACACACACAGAUAUACUGACACACACAGACAUACUCACACACACAGACAUACUGACACACACAGAUAUACUGACACACACACAGACAUACGGACACACACACACACACACUGACACACACACUUACAGACAUACUGACACACACACAAAGACAUACACAUACUGACACACACACAGACAUACUGACACGCACACUGACAGACAUACUGACACAGACAUACACACACACAC